UGCUUGCACCUGGUGGCGAGUGGCGAACGGGUGAGUAAUACAUCGGAACGUACCUUAUCGUGGGGGAUAACGCAGCGAAAGCUGUGCUAAUACCGCAUACGCCCUGAGGGGGAAAGCGGGGGAUCGAAAGACCUCGCGCGAUUAGAGCGGCCGAUGCCUGAUUAGCUUGUUGGUGGGGUAAAAGCCCACCAAGGCGACGAUCAGUAGCUGGUCUGAGAGGACGAUCAGCCACACUGGGACUGAGACACGGCCCAGACUCCUACGGGAGGCAGCAGUGGGGAAUUUUGGACAAUGGGGGAAACCCUGAUCCAGCAAUGCCGCGUGAGUGAAGAAGGCCUUCGGGUUGUAAAGCUCUUUUGUCAGGGAAGAAACACCGGCUCUAACACAGUCCGGGAAUGACGGUACCUGAAGAAUAAGCACCGGCUAACUACGUGCCAGCAGCCGCGGUAAUACGUAGGGUGCGAGCGUUAAUCGGAAUUACUGGGCGUAAAGCGUGCGCAGGCGGUUAUACAAGACAGGCGUGAAAUCCCCGGGCUUAACCUGGGAAUGGCGCUUGUGACUGUAUAGCUAGAGUGUGUCAGAGGGGGGUAGAAUUCCACGUGUAGCAGUGAAAUGCGUAGAUAUGUGGAGGAAUACCAAUGGCGAAGGCAGCCCCCUGGGAUAACACUGACGCUCAUGCACGAAAGCGUGGGGAGCAAAC
rnacentral:rRNA from 1 species